AGAGUUUGAUCCUGGCUCAGAACGAACGCUGGCGGCAUGCCUAACACAUGCAAGUCGAACGAAGCCUUCGGGCUUAGUGGCGCACGGGUGCGUAACGCGUGGGAAUCCGCCCCUUGGUUCGGAACAACAGUUAGAAAUGACUGCUAAUACCGGAUAACGACGAAAGUCCAAAGAUUUAUCGCCGAGGGAUGAGCCCGCGUAAGAUUAGGUAGUUGGUGGGGUAAUGGCCUACCAAGCCGACGAUCUUUAGCUGGUCUGAGAGGAUGAUCAGCCACACUGGGACUGAGACACGGCCCAGACUCCUACGGGAGGCAGCAGUGGGGAAUAUUGGACAAUGGGCGAAAGCCUGAUCCAGCAAUGCCGCGUGAGUGAUGAAGGCCUUAGGGUUGUAAAGCUCUUUUACCAGGGAUGAUAAUGACAGUACCUGGAGAAUAAGCUCCGGCUAACUCCGUGCCAGCAGCCGCGGUAAUACGGAGGGAGCUAGCGUUGUUCGGAAUUACUGGGCGUAAAGCGUACGUAGGCGGUUACUCAAGUCAGAGGUGAAAGCCCGGGGCUCAACCCCGGAACUGCCUUUGAAACUAGGUAGCUAGAAUCUUGGAGAGGUCAGUGGAAUUCCGAGUGUAGAGGUGAAAUUCGUAGAUAUUCGGAAGAACACCAGUGGCGAAGGCGACUGACUGGACAAGUAUUGACGCUGAGGUACGAAAGCGUGGGGAGCAAGCAGGAUUAGAUACCCUGGUAGUCCACGCCGUAAACGAUGAUAACUAGCUGUCCGGGCACUUGGUGCUUGGGUGGCGCAGCUA
rnacentral:rRNA from 1 species